GAACCUUUGGUUCGGGGCGGAAAGCUGAGUAACACGUGGCCAACCUGCCCUGUGGACAGGAAUAACCUCGGGAAACUGAGGAUAAUGCCUGAUAGCAGAACCAUGCUGGAAAUGCGGGUUCUGUGAAAUGACACGUCGCCACAGGAUGGGGCCGCGGCUGAUUAGGUUGUCGGUGAGGUAACGGCUCACCGAGCCCGUAAUCAGUAGCAGCCGUGGGAGCGGUAGCUGCCAGUCGUGUUCUGAGACAAGAACACGGGCCCUACGGGGCGCAGCAGGCACGAAACCUUUACAAUGCACGCGAGUGCGAUAGGGGGACUCCGAGUGCGUUCUUCCCACAAGGAAGGACGCUUUUCUGCACUGUAAGG
rnacentral:rRNA from 1 species